rnacentral:lncRNA from 1 species
CACAGGUUAACAAGUCGGGGUCUGUCCCACCUGCAGCGAUGCUGAUGCCACCCGGCUCUGCUAUUGCCAGGCUCUCAUCCUCGUCGGCGAGUGCCGGUUCCACAUGGUCAGCCUGUGUGAUAAUCUCUCUUUGUGACAAGUGCUGCGGGUUUCCCUGCUUGCGACGGGACAUUGCCCUGGCAUUUACACUGGCAUCGCCUGGAGAGCUGCACUGGUCUGGGGGCUGCGUUGGGGGCCGGUCCUCCUCCUCUGCUUUUUUUGCGUCUUUUCUUCUUCUUCUUCUUG